rnacentral:misc_RNA from 1 species
UAUCGAAUUAUAAAGGGAAUGGGGGGGGAAAACAUAAUGAAAAGUCAAGAUUGUCGCUGGCUUUCUUUUAGAUAAUGCAUGUGCACAUCUAUCUUUUCUCAUGUUGAUCCCUCUUUCUCUUAUACACAUUAUACACACUUGUGCACCUAUUGUAGGCCCUCGAAAAGAGGAUCUAUGUUCUUUUUCUAUAACCCACACUUUUUAUUGUAUGUCCACAGAAUGUAUUAAGAAUCUGUCAAUCCUUCUUUGAAGGUGGCGAUUCAAUAAAUCUAUACAACUUUCAGCAACGGAUCUCUUGGCUCUCGCAUCGAUGAAGAACGCAGCGAAUUGCGAUAAGUAAUGUGAAUUGCAGAUUUUCAGUGAAUCAUCGAAUCUUUGAACGCACCUUGCGCUCCUUGGUAUUCCAGGGAGCAUGCCUGUUUGAGUGUCAUUGAAUUAUCAACCUUGCUUUGAUUAAUAUUUUAAAGCAUGGCUUGGAGUUUGGGAGUUUGCUGGUAUUAAAUAUAUAUAUAUUUUUGUCAGCUCUCCUAAAAUACAUUAGCAAUGGAUAGUGCAACUUUGAUGUGCACGGUCUUUGACGUGAUAAUGAUCGUCGUGGCUGGAACACGUCUAGAAGGAUGUACUAUCCAUGCUUCUAACUUUCUAGAUCCUAGCCUUUUUCGGGGGUUUCUUGGGCUUAUUAGUCGGUUGUAAGACUGAUGAACACCUGGGCAAAAAUCCUUUUGAUAUUAGGUUAGAUCAAGUUGUUUUUGAAACUUG